rnacentral:miRNA from 1 species
CGGAGCGGGCUCCCUGGCGGGGCUGGGGCCGGGGCCGAGACUGGGGGGGCC